AUUGAACGCUGGCGGCAGGCCUAACACAUGCAAGUCGAGCGAGCGGCGGACGGGGGAGUAAUGUAUGGGGACUGCCCGAUAGCGGGGGAUAACUACUGGAAACGGUAGCUAAUCCCGCAUACUAUCCGCUACACCAUAUGGGAUUAGUUAGUAGGGGAGGUAAUGGCUCACCUAGGGGACGAUCCCUAGCUGGUCUGAGAGGAUGAUCAGCCACACUGGGACUGAGACACGGCCCAGACUCCUACGGAGGCAGCAGUGGGGAAUAUUGCACAAUGGGCGCAAGCCUGAUGCAGCCAUGCCGCGUGUAUGAAGAAGGCCCUAGGGUUGUAAAGUACUUUCAGUCGGGAGGCGUUACCGACAGAAGAAGCACCGGCUAACUCCGUGCCAGCAGCCGCGGUAAUUC
rnacentral:rRNA from 1 species